UACGUAGGGGCCUAGCGUUGUCCGGAUUUAUUGGGCGUAAAGAGCUCGUAGGCGGUUUGGUUAGUCAGGCGUGAAAUCUCCACGCUCAACGUGGAGGGGCCACCUGAUACUGCCAUGACUUGAGUCCGGUAGGGGAGUGUGGAAUUCCCGGUGUAGCGGUGAAAUGCGCAGAUAUCGGGAGGAACACCCGUAGCGAAGGCGGCACUCUGGGCCGUGACUGACGCUGAGGAGCGAAAGCGUGGGGAGCAAACAGG
rnacentral:rRNA from 1 species